GACGAACGCUGGCGGCGUGCUUAACACAUGCAAGUCGAACGGAAAGGCCCUGCUUUUGUGGGGUGCUCGAGUGGCGAACGGGUGAGUAACACGUGAGUAACCUGCCCUUGACUUUGGGAUAACUUCAGGAAACUGGGGCUAAUACCGGAUAGGAGCUCCUGCUGCAUGGUGUGGGUUGGAAAGUUUCGGCGGUUGGGGAUGGACUCGCGGCUUAUCAGCUUGUGGUGGGGGUUGUGGUUUCCAAAGGCUUUGACGGGUAGCCGGCCUGGGAGGGUGACAGGCCACAGUGGGACUGAGGUACGGCCCAGACUGCUACGGGAGGAAGAAGUGGGGAAUAUUGCACAAUGGGCGGAAGCCUGAUGCAGCAACGCCGCGUGCGGGAUGACGGCCUUCGGGUUGUAAACCGCUUUCGCCUGUGACGAAGCGUGAGUGACGGUAAUGGGUAAAGAAGCACCGGCUAACUACGUG
rnacentral:rRNA from 1 species